rnacentral:rRNA from 1 species
AACGAACGCUGGCGGCAGGCCUAACACAUGCAAGUCGAACGCCGUAGCAAUACGGAGUGGCAGACGGGUGAGUAACGCGUGGGAACCUUCCCUAUGGUUCGGAAUAGCUCAGGGAAACCUGGGGUAAUACCGUAUAAGCCCGUCGGGGGAAAGAUUUAUCGCCAUUGGAUGGGCCGGCGUAGGAUUAGCUAGUUGGUGAGGUAAUGGCUCACAAAGGGGACGAUCCUUAGCUGGUCUGAGAGGAUGAUCAGCAACACUGGGCCUGGGACACGGCCCAGAAUCCUACGGGAAGCAGCAGUGGGGAAUAUUGGACAAUGGGCGCAAGCCUGAUCCAGCCAUGCCGCGUGAGUGACGAAGGCCUUAGGGUUGUAAAGCUCUUUUGGCGGGGAAGAUAAUGACGGUACCCGAAGAAUAAGCUCCGGCUAACUUCGUGCCAGCAGCCGCCGUAA